AUGGUCCGGAGGGUCCAUUACAAAUGUUUGUGUGGUUCUUUCUUCUAUCUAAAUAAAUGUGUAAAUAAAUGUGUAGAACAGACGCAUACUAUACAUUAUUAUUAUUGUAAAAGAAUACAUUAUAGUUAUUUCAAACAUAUGAUAUCCAGGUUCACUACCAAAAUUGGAUGA